GAAUUUUAUAUUUUAAUAUGUAAUAAAUAUAUAAUUAAAAUAUUUUAUUGGGAGGAUAUUUAAAUUUAAUAAACUUUAAUUAUUAAUAACAUAGAUGAAUGAAAAUUUUUAAAAAUAUAAAUAUUUAAGAAUAAAUGAAUAAUUAUGUAAUUAUUAAAGAAUUAAUUACCUUAGGGAUAACAGCAUAAUAUUUUUUUGUAGUUCAUAUAUAAAAAAAUGCUUGU
rnacentral:rRNA from 1 species